CUUGAGUCGUGCCUUUCUGAAUG
rnacentral:miRNA from 1 species